CAGCAAUGAAUAGAUCACCGUGACCGGAACAAAACCUGAGCCACGCACAAGCCCAGGUACGUCACAGGUGGCAGAGAUAACACGGAAGGCGUCCUGCUUGACCACUGAACACAUGUAGGGGCAGGAAUUGGAGGGUGUGGCAUCAGUGUAAGCAGGCCGCCCCGGAGACGUGACAUGCAGUUGAUCUUGGAGACUGACGCAUAAAAAGUCACUGGUAGGAGUUGAGGGUCAAACGUGAUUUAUUUUGGCUUCUUUAAUUUCAGUUCCCAACUUCUGUUUUAAUUGUACCUUGAUUAAAUGGGCUUAAAAUGAAUAACUGAAUGUUUUAAGAUAUUACUCAUCUAUAUGCCUUCAAUCAUAUCACUGAUCUCACUAAUCAGCAGUCUUGCCCUGUGCCUGAUGAUGUUGUCUUACAGAUACUGUGGUAACUCCAGAGCCAACAGAGACGCUCCAAAACCCGAAAAGGUAAACGAACGUUGGUACUGCUCACUGAGAAGGAAAUGCGAGGGAGGGGUGAGACAAGGCAGAGAGGGUUUUAAAAUGCAAUGUCCCAGUUAAAUAUACCAGCUAUGGUGCUUAUUCUAAACUGCACUGGCUCUCAUUUGCUAAAAGUCAGGGCGUGUGAUACAACAGAGUUAAGGCCAAACGUCACAGUAAAACGCAAGAGCCCCAUAAUAGACAGUUUCUGUGCAUUGGGUUUCAGAGUGCGCCAUUACAAUCACUCAUUUCUUCUGCUAGGCGGCCUCCCAAGUCCAGCCACACCAGUCCACACACGAAGCUACCUUUCACCGUCCUGCCCCAGAGGCGCCGUGCUAAGCUGAGUCACAGGCUGGAGAGAGUUACAAAGGUUUCCAGUGAUGUUCCCGUACGAUCAGAGUCCAGGCCAGGGCACCCAGGACAAUCAUUCACACAAGUCAAAGACAGUCUUCUGUAAGCACAUCCAGCUAAGAGCCUCGGGCUAGUGGACUUUGGACCCAGAGCUAGGCUGUGAGCAAGGCCAGGCACAGCCCCGAGCAAGCACCUCUUCCCCAUCAGUGCCCAGAUAUGACCUUAUAUCCUUUGCAAUCAUUUCAGAUUUACUAAAGGAACCAUUUUCCUCAGGCAGUGCAUUUCUAAUAGGUUAAUAGCCCCAAGUCUUUAGCCUCUAGCAAGGGGGCAUCACAGAAUACUUCCCUGGCUUCCCCCACCUCCCAGAAAAAUAUAAGUGUAAUUGCAGAACAAGAGGGAUGUUUAAUGAAAAGUCUCCAUUAUGUCAGUAAAUGUAUCAUAACUCAAAAAUAGCAUUUACCAUUAUCACAGGCUUGAAGCUUUCGUAUGAUCUUUGGCCUCAUUCUCCAAACUCCAGCCAACUAAACUUCCUGGAGGUCAUCUGCCACUGCAUUUUCCACAACGCCAUAAAAGUUACAGCUGUUUAGAGCUGGCUGGAACCACACAUUUCAUCUACGAGAUGAUCUACACAGAUGAACAAGGACAGUAAACUUUUAGUGACCAUGUACUACAUCCCAGGAACCAUGUCAUGCAUUUACGUAGUACCUCUUUGGGGGCGCCUGGGUGGCUCAGCCAGUUAAAUGUCCCACUUCAGCUCAGGUCAUGAUCUCACAGUUCAUGAGUUCGAGCCCCAUGUCAGACUCUGUGCUGACAGCUCAGAGCCUGGAGCCUGCAUCUGAUUCUAUGUCUCCCUCUCUCUCUCUCUCUGCCU
rnacentral:lncRNA from 1 species